CCGAGCACAUGGACCCGCUGGUCAAGCGGGUUGUACAAGGCCAGAAUGAAGAGAAGCUGCGAGUCAGUAUGGAACUCAGAGGUCCCCGAGUGGAUAUCCACGUGGAAAGGAUGUUGGCAGCCCGGGUGACCUCGGAGUCACGGCUGGAUCCACCCUCCC
rfam:Rattus norvegicus strain BN; Sprague-Dawley chromosome 7 CRA_213000034377166, whole genome shotgun sequence.